rnacentral:rRNA from 1 species
GACGAACGCUGGCGGCGUGCCUAAUACAUGCAAGUAGAACGCUGAAGAGAGGAGCUUGCUCUUCUUGGAUGAGUUGCGAACGGGUGAGUAACGCGUAGGUAACCUGCCUGGUAGCGGGGGAUAACUAUUGGAAACGAUAGCUAAUACCGCAUGAAAUUGCUUAUCGCAUGAUAAUUGAUUGAAAGAUGCAAUUGCAUCACUACCAGAUGGACCUGCGUUGUAUUAGCUAGUUGGUGAGGUAACGGCUCACCAAGGCGACGAUACAUAGCCGGCCUGGGAGGGUGAUCGGCCACACUGGGACUGAGACACGGCCCAGACUCCUACGGGAGGCAGCAGUAGGGAAUCUUCGGCAAUGGGGGGAACCCUGACCGAGCAACGCCGCGGGAGUGAAGAAGGUUUUCGGAUCGUAAAGCUCUGUUGUAAGAGAAGAACGGGUGUGAGAGUGGAAAGUUCACACUGUGACGGUAUCUUACCAGAAAGGGACGGCUAACUACGUG